CUGACUUUAUUUUGUUUCACUCUCUUUUAUAUGAAGGUAAACCUUAAUCUCAUUAUUUUUGUUUGUUUGUUUACCUUAAAGCUCUUUGAGUUUAAAGGUUGACAGGGAAUGAAUGGGGAAGAUGUGUUAAUGUGCAACAUUGUUAUUCAUCACUUAUUAGCCCAUUGUAAUUGUAAACUGCUCUUUGGUGCAUAGGUUUAUGUUACCUAACAAGUAGUCUGAGGAAACAUUAUCAACUAAUCAGUAUUGAAAUAGUGCUGUCUUUAAAUUCCUUGGGGUCAGGCAUGGUGGUACAUGCCUGUAAUCCAAGCACUUUGGGACGCUGAGGUGGGAGGAUUUCUUGAGCCCAGGAGUUUGAGACCAGCCUGGGCAACAUAGUGAGACCCCAUUGCUACAAAAAAUACAAAAAUUAGUUGAGCCUGGUGGCAUGCACCUGUAGUACCAGCUACUUGGGAGUCUGAGGUGGGAGGAUUGCUUGAGCCCAGGAGGUUGAGAUGGCAGUGAG
rnacentral:lncRNA from 1 species